rnacentral:rRNA from 1 species
GCGUGAGUGAUGAAGGUCUUAGGAUUGUAAAGCUCUUUCACCGGUGAAGAUAAUGACGGUAACCGGAGAAGAAGCCCCGGCUAACUUCGUGCCAGCAGCCGCGGUAAUACGAAGGGGGCUAGCGUUGUUCGGAAUUACUGGGCGUAAAGCGCAUGUAGGCGGAUAUUUAAGUCAGGGGUGAAAUCCCAGAGCUCAACUCUGGAACUGCCUUUGAUACUGGGUAUCUUGAGUAUGGAAGAGGUAAGUGGAAUUCCGAGUGUAGAGGUGAAAUUCGU